GCAAAUUCCCUCCUGGAUCCUUGGAAUCCAGGCCAGAUAGAAUGAUGAUGAUGGUUAAAUGUAUGAAUCACUGAGUCUGGCCAGGUCCUGCUUAAGUGCUAACUUAUUUCAUCUCAUAGAAUCUUCACAUCAAACCUAGGAGAAAGGUACUAUUAUCAUCUCUAAGUUACAAAAAUGGGAACUGAGCCACCAAAUGGCUAAGUGGUUUGCCUAAGAACACAGCGCUGGGCAGACAGAGGAACCAGGGGACUUAGGCCUUGCCAAGGAGGUGACAGUUGGACUGGCCUGGAGGGACUGGCCUGGAAAGAACAGCUACAGUAUGGCCACAGGGUUCCGGGAUGGCCAAGGAGGCCCAUCUCACCAGACCUGGCCCUGAGAAACUUCACCAGCAAGGCUUUCAAAUCGGGUGCGUGAUUGCUACGACGUGAGUUCCCUUCCAGUAGGGCCUGCAGCUGCUCUGUCCUCCUGGAUGGAGAAUCUGACUCCAACUCAGCUUCCCAAACCACACACAAUUC
rnacentral:lncRNA from 10 species